rnacentral:lncRNA from 1 species
CUAUUUUGAAUAUUUGAAGUUCAUACUCCCAAGAGAAUCUGCUGCUCUUAGUGCACGAAGCUCAUCCCGUGCAGUAACUCUUCCGUACUUGGAUCUUGUCAUCUCCGAUCUCCACUGCUUCACUACUGACCUUCGCUUCAUUUUCGGGUAACACAGUCUUCAAAUAUAUAUAUAUAUAGCUAUUACUCUAUUACUGCUGCACUCAUACAUGCACAUACUGAUAUAUAUCGCUCAUCACAAGUCAAUCUGUUUCUGUACAUCAUAAAUAUAUAUAUCUGCAUUAACUAACGUUUCAUAUUCAUUCCAUCCACCUCAAUAUUUCAGUGCAUAGUUCAUAUAUAAAUACAUUCACUAGUUAAUAAACUACUAUAAUCACACUGAAAUCUUUCAGAUCUUCCCCUCCUAAUUAACGCCCAUUAUAUAAAUCGAUCUCCCCCUCCUUCAAACACACAACAACAAUCGAUCAAUUCAUCUCCAACACUUUCAAAUCACUAUCAUCAGUAACACUACAUCACCAUCAGUACGCGUUCUUCAUCACCGUCGUCGCCUCCAGCUCCUUCACUGCCGGGCACAUCUUCAUCACCGUCGUCACACAUUCUCAUAUUUAAACAAAACAUGUAAAGGGGAUUACAUCAAUAACGCAUAUUCAGACAGCGCACUUCAAUUCAGCCGUGUAUAUAUAUAUAUAUCUUAUAUAAGGUCCGUCCAGCCCAUGCUUCUCUAGCAUAUAUCAGUUCAUCUGUAUCCCGAUUCACACCAACUCAUCAUACAUAGUGUUGUAAACACUUGAGAGCAAGUUUUACUUAUUCAAAUCUGAAUACAGUGAUAGACCAUAACAUAAAUAAUAGAAAAUAAAAUAAAAUAUUUUGCGAGAUCGAUAAUAAGAA